AACGAGGGCUUCGUAGCAGUGUCCGUCUUAACUAGGCUGUAAAGGGAGAGUAGGCGGUUCCAUAGUUAGUCUCAAAAUAAGCACUAAAAUUUGACUAAAGUUUCUUUGGUAACUCAGAGGAUAGUGGAUGAUAAUGGUUACGUUCAAAGGAGCAGUGUAAAUGCCGUGAGAGUGAAAGGACCACCAAAUAGCGAUUGCAAUUAUCAACACUUUUUUUAUUUAAACCUUGACGCUGACGCUCUGAAAGUGUGGGGAGCAAACCGG
rnacentral:rRNA from 1 species